rnacentral:rRNA from 1 species
UACAGAGGAUGCAAGCGUUAUCCGGAAUUACUGGGCGUAAAGCGCACGCAGGCGGUUCGCCAAGUUUGGCGUGACAGUUGUCGGCUCAACCGACAAAGGACUUCAAAAACUGGUGAACUUGAGGACGAGAGAGGAACAUGGAACUCCAGGUGUAGUAGUGAAAUGCGUAGAUAUCUGGAAGAACACCAAUGGCGAAGGCAAUGUUCUGGCUCGUUUCUGACGCUCAGGUGCGAAAGCCAGGGGAGCGAACGGG